rnacentral:rRNA from 1 species
AUUGAACGCUGGCGGCAGGCCUAACACAUGCAAGUCGAACGGUAACAGGAAACAGCUUGCUGUUUCGCUGACGAGUGGCGGACGGGUGAGUAAUGUCUGGGAAACUGCCUGAUGGAGGGGGAUAACUACUGGAAACGGUAGCUAAUACCGCAUAACGUCGCAAGACCAAAGAGGGGGACCUUCGGGCCUCUUGCCAUCGGAUGUGCCCAGAUGGGAUUAGCUAGUAGGUGGGGUAACGGCUCACCUAGGCGACGAUCCCUAGCUGGUCUGAGAGGAUGACCAGCCACACUGGAACUGAGACACGGUCCAGACUCCUACGGGAGGCAGCAGUGGGGAAUAUUGCACAAUGGGCGCAAGCCUGAUGCAGCCAUGCCGCGUGUAUGAAGAAGGCCUUCGGGUUGUAAAGUACUUUCAGCGGGGAUGACGGGAGUAAAGUUAAUACCUUUGCUCAUUGACGUUACCCGCAGAAGAAGCACCGGCUAACUCCGUG